rnacentral:rRNA from 1 species
CCGAAAAGCCUCUAAGCUUCAGUCAUAGAGUGACCGUACCGCAAACCGACACAGGUGGGCUGGUAGAGAAUACCAAGGCGCUUGAGAGAACUCAGGAGAAGGAACUCGGCAAAUUGAUACCGUAACUUCGGGAGAAGGUAUGCCCCGUUAGCUUGUAGGAGAACAUCCGAAGGGCGAAGGGGCCGCAGAGAAUCGGUGGCUGCGACUGUUUAUUAAAAACACAGCACUGUGCAAACACGAAAGUGGACGUAUACGGUGUGACGCCUGCCCGGUGCCGGAAGGUUAAGUGAUGGGGUGCAAGCUCUUGAUCGAAGCCCCGGUAAACGGCGGCCGUAACAAUAACGGUCCUAAGGUAGCGAAAUUCCUUGUCGGGUAAGUUCCGACCUGCACGAAUGGCGUAACGAUGGCCACACUGUCUCCUCCUGAGACUCAGCGAAGUUGAAAUGUUUGUGAAGAUGCAAUCUACCCGCGGCUAGACGGAAAGACCCCAUGAACCUUUACUGUAGCUUUGCAUUGGACUUUGACGGGAUUUGUGUAGGAUAGGUGGGAGGCUAUGAAACCGGGACGCUAGUUUCGGUGGAGCCAACCUUGAAAUACCACCCUGGUGUCGUCGAGGUUCUAACCCAGGUCUGUGAAUCCAGAUCGGGGACCGUGCAUGGUGGGCAGUUUGACUGGGGCGGUCUCCUCCUAAAGCGUAACGGAGGAGUACGAAGGUCACCUAGGUACGGUCGGACAUCGUACUGAUAGUGCAAUGGCAAAAGGUGGCUUGACUGCGAGACCCACAAGUCGAGCAGGUGCGAAAGCAGGUCAUAGUGAUCCGGUGGUUCUGUAUGGAAGGGCCAUCGCUCAACGGAUAAAAGGUACUCUGGGGAUAACAGGCUGAUUCCGCCCAAGAGUUCACAUCGACGGCGGAGUUUGGCACCUCGAUGUCGGCUCAUCACAUCCUGGGGCUGUAGCCGGUCCCAAGGGUAUGGCUGUUCGCCAUUUAAAGUGGUACGUGAGCUGGGUUUAAAACGUCGUGAGACAGUUUGGUCCCUAUCUGCCGUGGGCGCUGGAAGUUUGAGAGGGCUUGCUCCUAGUACGAGAGGACCGGAGUGAACGCACCCCUGGUGUACCGGUUGUGACGCCAGUCGCAUCGCCGGGUAGCUAUGUGCGGAAGAGAUAACCGCUGAAAGCAUCUAAGCGGGAAACUCGCCUCAAGAUGAGACUUCCCCGGGGCCUUGAGCCCCCUGAAGGGUCGUUGAAGACCACAACGUUGAUAGGUCGGGUGUGGAAGCGUGGCAACACGUUAAGCUAACCGAUACUAAUUGCCCGUGUGGCUUGAAC